ACGACGAGGGUGAUGAUCCGGAGCUCGCCAUGGUCGCAGGGGGGACUGAAGUUUCAGCUUUUCAUGUGGUCGGCAAGUCGCUGCAAGUUGCAACUCCCGAACUCUGAGCUGUGUUCACGUCAUGAGAGAGAGAGAGAGAGAGAGAGAGAGAGAGAGAGAGAGGUGUAAAGUGAAUGAUGGAAGAAGAAAGGGGGAAGCACAGAGUAAAGGAAAGGAAGAAAGAAGGAAAAAGAUAGAAUGUAAAGGGGGAGGGUGGUGGGGGCAUGUCAUGGAAUGGAAAAAUAAAGGUUAGAGGAGUAGGUGUAACGCAACUUCGUGGCAGAUUGGCAUCCUCCUCCCCCAUUAAGAAUUUGCA
rnacentral:lncRNA from 1 species